GACGAACCGUGCGAACGUUAUUCGGAAUCACUGGGCUUAAAGGGAGCGUAGGCGGUCUAUCAAGUCUGGGGUGAAAUCCCACGGCCCAACCGUGGAACUGCCUUAGAUACUGACGGCCUCGAGGGAGAUAGGGGCAUGCGGAACUGUAGGUGGAGCGGUGAAAUGCGUUGAUAUCUACAGGAACUCCGGUGGCGAAAGCGGCGUGCUGGAUCUCUUCUGACGCUGAGGCUCGAAAGCUAGGGGAGCAAACGGG
rnacentral:rRNA from 1 species